rnacentral:tRNA from 1 species
GUGGGUAUGGUCUAGUGGCUAUGACGCGGGCCUGUGGCGCCCGAGAUCCGGGUUCAAUUCCCGGUACCCACU